GGGAAAGGACAUUCUACUAUUUUAGCAUUAAUUAUCUGUGUUUGAGUAGUACAUAAACUUGUGGAAAAGGAAAGAAGGGAGGAAGGGGUAGAGAGUUUAAUAAUGGAGCUUGUUUCAUUUCACAGAGCAAUUGCACAUAUUGCUAAUCUAUCCAGUUCUGUUUGAGCAAUUGGAACUUCAAGAAUUACAAGGAGCAAGAGGUUUACCACAUAAACCUUUGUUUCCAGAGUAAGAGCUCUCUGGGAACUCGCUCAAAGGCUUACCCAUGGGAAUUUCUCCCACCAGAAAAUUAUCUGAUAAAUCCAGUUCCAAUAGCUUUUUAAGCUUCAGAAAUUCAACUGGUAUGUUUCCAGUGAACUGGUUUUUCUGCAGCUUCAGCCUUUCUAAUGAGCUCACAUUAGCUAAAGCCUCUGGUAUUUUGGAACCGAAUUUAUUGUAGCUCAAAUCCAAAGUCUGCAAUGAUUUCAAUCUUCCUAUGGAUGAUGGCACUCUGCCAAUCAGAAAAUUAUGUGACAGGUUGAGAUACUGCAUCCCAGUUUGAGCUCCUAUUCCAAGUUGUUCAACGCCCCCUGAGAAGUUGUUAUUAGAAAGGUCGAUGUAUGUCAGUGAACCAUCAGGAAAUGCAUUUCCUAUCUCAAAAACUUUACUUAUGGGGCCUGUGAGUCUGUUUGAGUUGAGAUCCAGUACACCCAAAUGCUGCAAGUUCGUAACUGAAUCAGGAAUCCCUGAAACAAGAAAAUUCCUUGAGAGAUUCAAUGAGUAGAGCUGAGUCAAGCUCCCCAGCCAUGCUGGCAAGCUUCCAGUGAGAUGGUUGGCUGAUAAGUCCAGUUCUUGUAUUGGACUUGGAGUUGCUCGCAAGAAUUCUGGAAUUUUUCCCCGAAUUCCACAUCCGGCCAAGUAUAUCUUGGAAAGCGAUGGCAUUUCUGAUAGCCACUUCGGGAAGGAUACGAGUUUCAAGCGGUUGAAUGAGAAAUCUAGAGUUUGCAGAUUUUCGAGGGAAGAAAACUCACUGGGCAGUGGCCCUUGAAUCAAAUUGUGAGAUAUGUUUAAGAGAAUUAGACGAGAGAGUUGAGAGAUUGAUUUUGGCAUCUGGCCAGAUAGCAGAUUGCCGUUGAGAUACAACUCUGUUAAAGCUGAUAGACUACCCAAGCUGGAAGGAAUUGCUCCUUCAAGCUUGUUAUUUGCUAGUGAAACUCUUUGGAGAGAAACCAAAUAUCCAAAAUUUUGUGGUAUCCUUCCGGUGAGAUGGUUAUCAUUUAGUCUAAGGAAGCCAAGAGCAGACAUUUGGCCAGAACUUGAUGGAAAAGGGAUUGCUCCCUCAAGAUGGUUUCCAUCCAAGUACAACUCUGAAAUGGAAUUCAGAUUUGUUAAUGAAAGUGGGAUGUUCCCUUCCAAUAAAUUGUUCGAAAGAUCGAGCUUUUCCAUCGCCUGCAUUUCACCAAUCUUAACUGGUAAUUGACCAGUUAGAGCAUUGCCGUGCAGAUCCAGAUGCAUCAGAUUUGUCAAGUUUGUGAAGGAAUCGGGUAUCAAACCAGUGAAUUGAUUUGAAUAAAGAAGCAGUUGGUUGAGAUUUCUAAGAUUGCCUAGGCUUGAAGGGAGAGAACCAGACAAUCUAUUCUCAUGCAGGUGAAGCUCUUCAAGUUUCGACAACUUACCGAUACUAUCUGGUACUGGUCCACUGAGCAUGUUGCCGUAUAAGUACAGCUUUCGGAGCUUUGGGAGGCGAGAACCAAUCGCUGGUGGGAUCGUUCCAGUCAGGCCUACUAGGCCACCAAGAUCAAUGACUCCAACAGUGCUGAGAAGUGUUAUUGAGGGAGACAACAAUCCUCUCAUCUCGGAUUGGAAGAGGAAAUCAUUGGUGGAAAUGAAUCCUGCAAGACGGAUUUCUGUCACCCUUCCAGUUUGAUUAUCGCAACGAAUACCUUCCCAGUAGCAGCAACGGUGACCGACCCACUUCGCUAAUCGACCAGAAGUGUCAACGUGGAUCCCAGCCUUGAAAUCAAUUAGACCCUUCAGGUCGCUGGGGUUGCAUAGGCUACCAGCAUUUUGCUUUGCUUCUCCAACUCUUGUGAUGGCUAGUAAAACAACAACCCAGAACAGCUGACAAACCAUUUUGCUGCCUGGACUGAUAAAUUAAGACUCACUGAUUUGAUUUUUGCUAAAAUAGGAAAUGAAUAUGACGAUAGAGUUCAAGAUCUCUAUGAAAUUAGAGAACAAUGGCAUCAGAGGGUUCCUGUCCUUGUUUAUGGUCCCCAAGGACUGACUGCUGUCAACGUUUUGGAACCUCACCUCAAGAAGGAUCUUACAAUUUAUUAUCAGCUUUUCUUUUUAUAUAUGUAUAUAGUAAUCCCAAACAAUAGGUGAAGAUUUUAAAUACUGACG
rnacentral:misc_RNA from 1 species